rnacentral:rRNA from 1 species
GACGAACGCUGGCGGCGUGCCUAAUACAUGCAAGUCGAACGCAGUGGGGACGGUUGAGUAACACGUUGGUAACCUCCCAUCAGAGGGGAUAACACUUGGAAACAGGUGCUAAACCGAUACUGAUUGAGCGACUCGAGGUGUAUUAGCUAGUGGGGGGGGUAACGGCCCACCUAGGCCACGAUGCAUAGCCGGGCUGAGAGGAUGAUCGGCCACACUGGGACUGAGACACGGCCCAGACUCCUACGGGAGGCAGCAGUAGGGAAUAUUCGGCAAUGGACGAAAGUCUGACCAAGCAACGCCGCGUGAGUGAAGAAGGUUUUCGGAUCGUAAAGCUCUGUUGUUGGAGAAGCGGUAUCUAAAGAGAAAGCCACGGCUAACUACGUGCCAGCAGCCGCGGUAAUUC